UGUGGCAGUGACAUCAAACUGAUAGCUAGCUUUCUGCAGCUCUCAAGCAGGGUAAGCAGGGUUGUGCCUGGUUAGUACAUGGAUCAUGAAAGUCCACAUGGGAAAACUAGGUUGCUACUGGAA
rnacentral:rRNA from 1 species